rnacentral:rRNA from 1 species
AUGAGCCAUACAAUGAAGCUAUGGGAGAGAGUCAUUGAGCACCGCUUAAGAAGAAUGACAAGCGUGACCAAAAAUCAGUUUGGUUUCAUGCCUGGGAGGUCGACCAUGGAAGCCAUUUUCUUGGUACGACAACUUACGGAGAGAUAUAGGGAGCAAAAGAAGGACUUGCAUAUGGUGUUCAUUGACUUGGAGAAGGCCUAUGAUAAGAUACCGCGGAAUGUCAUGUGGUGGGCCUUGGAGAAACACAAAGUUCCAGCAAAGUACAUUACCCUCAUCAAGGACAUGUACGAUAAUGUUGUGACAAGUGUUCGAACAAGUGAUGUCGACACCGAUGACUUCCCGAUUAAGAUAGGACUGCAUCAGGGGUCAGCUUUGAGCCCUUAUCUUUUUGCAUUGGUGAUGGAUGAGGUCACAAGGGAUAUACAAGGAGAUAUCCCAUGGUGUAUGCUCUUUGUGGAUGAUGUGGUGCUAGUUGACGAUAGUCGGACGGGGGUAAAUAGGAAGUUAGAGUUAUGGAGACAAACCUUGGAAUUGAAAGGGUUUAGGCUUAGUAGAACUAAAACCGAGUACAUGAUGUGCGGUUUCAGUACUACUAGGUGUGAAGAGGAGGAGGUUAGCCUUGAUGGCCAGGUGGUACCUCGGAAGGACAAAGAGCUAGCUAUGGACAGGGGUGCGUUGAAGCUUGCUAUCCAUGUGCCAGAGCCAUGA